AUCAUUGGCAGAAGGAAUAUACAUAUGGCAAGAGUUUAUACAACCCUGCGGCCCUCAGCAAGCUUGGAUCACAAAUGUACAUGCUAAACAAAUGGUACAUGGUAGCGUGUGUCAGAAAAGUAGAUGACUAUGUUUGUGUCCGAAUUAGAAACUAUCAUUACUUCUGUGGUGAUGAUAUUAUUUAUGUUCAAUUUAAUGAGCUACACCAACUAUGCCACAUGGACGCUCUUGACAAAUCUCUAAUGAGUUGCUUCUGUCUGUAAGUGAUUCUUCCUUUCAAUAAUGUCUCUGUAACUUAUCAUGUAUAUAUAUAACUAAUUACAGAAACCCGCUAUACAUAUGCAGAAACAUGAUGAGGGACCUCAGAGUUAGAAAUAACAAGGAGAUUGGAUUUGUGGAUCCGAAUGUUGUAUUCAAACACCACAAGACCCCGUAUGUCUUAUGGAGAACUCAAACGGAGAGAAAUCUACGGAGGUUCUUGAUCAACCAAAAAGAUAAAAGAUAUAUACUCUUUCCCUACAACUUUAAGUAAGUGUCGUUAUCGUGUGUACAUUCUAUUUAACUAAUUAACCAGAUCAAUAUGAAGGUAUAUACUAAUUUUGCCUACAUAUGCACACAAAUGCAGCUUUCAUUGGAUACUAAUUGUCAUUGGUCUCUGGCAAUGUCAAUUGGUAGUCUAUGAUUCGUUGAGAAAACCACAGGACGAUUACCAAGAAAUGAUAGAUAUUAUGCAAUGGUAACUCCGAUCUCUAUAUAUUAAAUUUUGCUCUUUUAACUUGGUAAUAGAUAAUUAAUAAUUAUCGUUUUAUUGCUAGGGUUUGCGCUGGGUUCGUGCAGAAACACCGUCCAGAGUUGAAUGCAGUACUUUCAAAGCACAUCUUACUUCAGUGGGUUCUACGGCAGACACCGGGCAACAAUUUGUGUGGCUACUAUGUGUGCGAGUUUAUGACGGUCUAUGCCAAAAUAACUAAUCUUGAGCACCUAAAAGUAUGUAACAUGUAUAUAUAAUAAGUUUAUUUCAUUUAUUUGUUGCUAUUUAAUAAAUCCUAUUCAUACCUCUAACUUUUUUCUUUAAUGUCUAUUAAAGGAAAUGUGGCUGAAGGAGCAGGUCUUGGAUGCGGUGCGCCUAAAAGGAAUUCAGGAGACAAUCACAGGAUUUCAUAACGACCAAGUCCAUGAUCCCGGCGGCGAGUGCUACUUCAACCCUCAGGAGCAGAUGAAACUAAAUAACGAUGAUCAUUUGUACGAUGCUUGAGUGGCGGAGAUAAAUUGUGUUGUAAAUACUUUGUCCGUGAAGCAUAUGUGUAAAUAUUAUAUUAUGGACCUAUAGAUACAUAUUAUAUAUAUAUAUAUAGUGUUUUAUAGUAUAUUUAUAUGUAAUGCUUUAAAUUAUAUAAAUUAUAUGUGCGCGUUCCAUAAACUACCAGCAAACAAUACGCAUUCGAAAAUAACAAUAACAUAAUUGUAAACCCUAAAUGGAAAACCAAAUAAAAAGAAAAAGAAAAAAGAAAAAAGUCUUUAGUCCCGGUUGGUAGCAACAACCGGGACUAAAAGUGGAGGCCAGGUGGUACACCCUGGCGCACCUUUUAGUCCCGGUUGCUGUUACCAACCGGGACUAAAGGUGGACCUUUAGUCCCGAAACCUUAGCUCCGGUUCCGUAGCCGGGACUAAAGACCCUUACGGCCCGGGGAUAAAGCCCUUCCAUGUACUAGUGACUGCGUCUCACCUCCUUCUAGUGCUGCCAAAUCUGAGCAAAGAAACGACUUGAGGUGCUAGAGAGGAUACGUUGAUUGGUGUUCCCUGGCACGAAGGAAACGCAAGAUGGAGAAUAAGAUGGGUAACCUUUCAAAAAAAUAUUUAGACAUUUUAAAAAACAGAAGAUGGAUCCCAGCUGGUUUCCAUAUUGCACUAAUGUUUCAUCUUUUACACACUACAGCUUUGCUAAUGGAUAUUUGUUUUGUCUUUGCUCCUGCAUCCACUAAUUUUCUAGCUUCACUAGCACAUUGUAGAGAUCCUUAAGGUUGUAACUUCAAUAGAACCAUGGCAUCUAGUGACAACAAAUAGAACAUGAAUUCCAUUAAUUCGUGAAUUAGAUAUAGGACUGAUCAGUAGAGAGGAGUAGACGGACUACUGCACAGGUCUUUAAACCGACUCAUAUUUAUAAAAUCGAUGUCAUGGAGUCGAGCUAGGAAGGCGGUUUUUUUUGCCCUUAAAGGCAUGUGAGUCAUUAGAUUCUCAUUAAAAAGUGUGCACACACAUAUCCCAUAAAUUCGCAUUAAGAUAUGUGUGUGCAUAUAUGUCUCAGUCCGUCCAACAAUGAUGGAUAUAAGAGCAUAUUCCUGUAAGAACAGAUUGAACUCAGCAAGUAACAAAUAGCUGUCUCCAACAGGAGACUCAUUUGGGAACGUAAACCUAAAAUGGAUCUAUAACACAAUACCUAUAGCCUCCAACAUAGUACCCAUACAGAAGACCCAUUUUAGGUAUCACGAGAGACGUAACUCAAAUUUAGGUAUCCUUUCUCCUCG
rnacentral:lncRNA from 1 species